UUCCAACGGUCAAAAUAUUUCAUUUCUAUCAAGCAAACCAAACUGUGUGUAAAUAAACGAAGAAAGGAAACCCCUUUCUUCAUUUUUCUCUCAUGCCUCUCUUUCUGGGUUUUCAAAAUCCUCUCUCUCUUAAAGAAAAACCCCAAGAAAGAUCGUUCAUCAAGUUUCAUUCUAAGGAUUGUCUUGAGAAAGAAACUUCAAUUCAGGUCAUGAACAUUAUUUAUCCUUUUUUAUCGCAUUUAUCUUAUGUCUUGCCUCAUUAAUUGCUAAAAUCAUCCUAGGUUUAGUCUUUUUUCUCUCUAUUUUCUUUUUUUUUUUCGAAUUUGGAAAAUGGGGUUAUGUAUGCUUUCUUUUUUCCUUCUUUGUAUGGUUGUAGACCUGCUUUUGCAGAAACAUGACACCUCCGUUCAGCCAAGCAUUCAGGUGAAAACAAGAUUGACUUUAAAUAACCUAUCAGCCAGGGAUACAUGCUGGCUAGCACGUUAGCUUCUAGUUUUUGACCAGCUGCAUGCCUGCUCUUUGGCCUUGACACUAGAGCCUCGGUGUUUGCCGCAGGCUGCAGCAUCACUCCCCUGCAUGAAGCUAUGCCUUGGCCUCGUCUUGACGUGUAGCAUUCCAUGAGCUAUGCUAAUUUGUUGUACUAGGUGUUUUUUGUCUUGUUCAUCAAAGGUUUUUCUUCAAGAAUCCUCUGGGAGCUGCUCUACUUCUUGCCUAAAGCUGUUUCUACUCACGGACUAGUACUGUUUCUGCAAAUAGCUAGGCUUUUGUCAUAUAGUUUCAGUAUUAGAGUAAAUAUGUUAUUUCUCAUUUGAAAUAUGUUAUUCCAGGUAAAAACAAGAUUGACAUUACAGAUGCGGCACAGCUGCUCAAAGGGAGAAAAAGAAAACAUCCUUGAACA